AGAGUUUGAUCAUGGCUCAGAGCGAACGUUAGCGGCGGGCCUAACACAUGCAAGUCGAGCGAGAAAGGGACUUCGGUCCUUAGUAAAGCGGCGGACGGGUGAGUAACACGUAGGUAAUCUUCCCUUGAGCGGGGGACAACGGUCCGAAAGGACCGCUAAUACCGCAUACGUUUCCAGAGGCCCUGGUCUUUGGAAGGAAAGCUAGGCAGCAAUGUCCGGCACUCGAGGAGGAGCCUGCGUCGCAUCAGCUAGUUGGUGGGGUAACGGCCUACCAAGGCGAAGACGCGUAGCUGGUCUGAGAGGAUGAUCAGCCACACUGGGACUGAGACACGGCCCAGACUCCUACGGGAGGCAGCAGUGGGGAAUAUUGGACAAUGGGCGCAAGCCUGAUCCAGCCACGCCGCGUGAGUGAUGAAGGCCUUCGGGUCGUAAAGCUCUGUGGGGAGGGACGAACCGCUGCUGGUUCAUAGCCAGCAGCAUGACGGUACCUCCUUAGCAAGCACCGGCUAACUUCGUGCCAGCCGCCGCGGUAAUUC
rnacentral:rRNA from 1 species